rnacentral:lncRNA from 1 species
AAGGAAGUACUUCUUCCUCAUCCUCAAAACCUUGCCAGGAAUCUUUGAGACAGGCCUCCUUUUAUGAGGCCUAGUAAACUCUACAAUGACUGUUGGAGCAAUAAUUGCCCUAUGCCCCCAAGUUUCUUCCUUUUCAAAGUCAGUCUUUGCCCACGUGAAUAAUUUAUGAUAAGUCUUGUUUAGAAGACAAACACAUAGUCUCUACCUGAUUGAAUGCCCCUUUCAGCCUUUUAAAAUGCAAUAAAGCAAUUCAGUGUUCUAAAAUUGUUUUCCCAGGCAAGCAUUUAAUUACUGCACAAUUACCCAGAUCAUGCAUCCAAACUGGCACUUGCUGACUCUAUAGCAAGAAUAAUUUGAAAAUUAAAAAAAAUCUAUGAAGAAAAUCGUAUUCCAGUUGUAUACAACACCACAGUGGGCUUCCUGACUGCUUAUCAUAUUUUUUAUCACAGUGGAGCCAAUUAGAAUUUCAAAGGAAGUUAUUGCAGCAUUGCUUAUGAGUUUUUGUUUCUCAACAGGCUAAGAAGAACUUGAUGAAAACUUGAUUUAUUAUUGCAUGUCAGAGUUCAAGACCACUAGCUGAGCUCAGCAGAGGCGAGCCUACCAAGAAGCUAAGCUGAGUAAAGGACAUGCCAGUGAUCUUUCGUAUUUUAUCAAAAUGUGAAUGUCUUAAGCACGUGAAAUCUUCACUAAUAUUAGAAGCUAUAAGAGUCAUAAACAGCAAUAAUGCUGUCAAGAAAUGCAUGACUUCAAGACUCUAUUUUUAAAGGACACUUACUUUGAAGUGUUUACAAGGAACCGCCAGAAGCUGGAAGAGGCAAGGAAGAACAUUUCCCUAGAGCCCUCAGAGGGAGCAUGGCUCUGCUGACACCUUGAUUCAGACCUCUGGCCUCCAGAAUGGUGAGAGAAUAUAUUUAUGUUGUUUUAAACCAAGUUCAUGAUAAUUUAUUAUGGCAG